rnacentral:rRNA from 1 species
AUUGAACGCUGGCGGCAGGCCUAACACAUGCAAGUCGAACGAGUGGCGGACGGGUGAGUAAUGUCUGGGAAACUGCCUGAUGGAGGGGGAUAACUACUGGAAACGGUAGCUAAUACCGCAGACUCUCGGAUGUGCCCAGAUGGGCUUAGCUAGUAGGUGGGGUAAAGGCUCACCUAGGAGACGAUCCCUAGCUGGUCUGAGAGGAUGACCAGCCACACUGUAACUGAGACACGGUCCAGACUCCUAAGGUAGGCAGCAGUGGGGAAUAUGUCACAAGGGGCGCAAGCCUGAUGCAGCCAUGCCGCGUGUAUGAAGAAGGCCUUAGGGUUUGAAAGUACUUUCAGCGGGGAGGCGUUACCCGCAGAAGAAGCACCGGCUAACUCCGUGCCAGCCGCCGCGGUAAUUC